rnacentral:rRNA from 1 species
CCUACGGGUGGCAGCAGUGAGGAAUAUUGGUCAAUGGACGAGAGUCUGAACCAGCCAAGUAGCGUGAAGGAUGACUGCCCUAUGGGUUGUAAACUUCUUUUAUAUGGGAAUAAAACGUUCCACGUGUGGGAUUUUGUACGUACCAUAUGAAUAAGGAACGGCUAACUCCGUGCCAGCAGCCGCGGUAAUACGGAGGAUCCGAGCGUUAUCCGGAUUUAUUGGGUUUAAAGGGAGCGUAGGUGGAUUGUUAAGUCAGUUGUGAAAGUUUGCGGCUCAAACGUAAAAUUGCAGUUGAAACUGGCAGUCUUGAGUACAGUAGAGGUGGGCGGAAUUCGUGGUGUAGCGGUGAAAUGCUUAGAUAUCACGAAGAACUCCGAUUGCGAAGGCAGUUCACUGGACUGCAACUGACACUGAGGCUCGAAAGUGUGGGUAUCAAACAGGAUUAGAUACCCGAGUAGUC